GGCUGAGGUGGAGCCGAGAGCCGGUUUAGUUGGCAAGCCUCGGCCCCAUAGGGAGGACGUGAGUGUUGACCUGCAUGUUGCUGAAACUGAUUGGAUGCUCAGAUUGGAAAUUCACGCAUGUCCCACAAAGACUGAAAAUUACGCGGUGCCGGGGUGCAGACAGGCGGGUUUAGUGCCAACACGCGGCGCAUCCUCACAUCCCUCACAAAGGCACGCGGCACACUGACUCCCGGGACGUGAUGAGGUGAGAGAAAGUUGUGUCUAUCCAUAUUUGGAGCCAGGAAAGGAGCUGCCAAUACUAAGGCCUGCCUCAUGAGAAAUCCUGACCCACCUGUAGCAUCAAGGUCAAGAUAAUCCUGUGAGGAGUCAUGUGGUACCUUAUGUAGUGUCACCAGGACAGCACUAUGACCCCUUGUCCCUGCAGGCCCUACCACUCUACACGGCCUCAGUCGUCAGGUCAGCACCAGACUGAUCAUCAGUAUCUCAGGCUGCUGCAGCAAUAUGUAUGAACCAUGGAAAAUUUGAUGGUGGUGGCACCUAACAACUUUACAAUACAGCAUGGGGUGGUAUGCUGCACUCCCUCCCUCACCUUGAGUUGAGGGAGGCAAUGGUGCGGAUGAGGAGUUGCUGUGGUGGCAGGUUGUGGGCCAGUAAGUGGUGGUGCUCCUGCCAGCCCUCCCGCACCCAGCCCCCAGCCCCUGCGCCACCCAGUGAUCCCACAGCAACAUUUAGGUCGUCCUCAGAGUCGUCACAGCAGUGGGAUGGUCCUCGGAGGUCCUCUCUCUCCGAUGACCUGAAGUUAGAAAUUUCUGUUUUUAUGUUUCUGUAGUUAGAAAUUUCUGUUUUUAUGUUUGACUUACCUUCAUGCUGCUGCUAUUAUUAUUUAACUUUUUAUAUGGCAAAGUGCCAACUAUUAUACUCCAAUUGUCACUGAAUGAGAACAACAAUAGAGAUACUCCAAUUGUCACUGAAUGAGAACAGUAAAGAGAAAACUAUUGCACUGAAAAGAAUAAAUGCAAGCAGCUUUUGAAGUUAUGCUUCUGCUUAUAGACUUCAACCUGACUUAGCAUUAAAACUAAUUAUAAUUAAUGUACAAGAUAGAAGCUGAAGGGUGCAUCUUUCUUUUAGCAUGUAAAAAGAAAUGUACAAAUAAGAUUUACUAAAUAUACAGAUAAACCUUU